rnacentral:rRNA from 1 species
AAAUGAAUAGACGGGGGCCCGCACAAGCAGUGGAGUAUGUGGUUUAAUUCGAAGCAACGCGAAGAACCUUACCAGGGCUUGACAUCCCUCGAAUUAAGUAGAGAUACUUAAGUCCUUCGGGACGAGGAGACAGGUGGUGCAUGGUUGUCGUCAGCUCGUGUCGUGAGAUGUUGGGUUAAGUCCCGCAACGAGCGCAACCCCUGUUGUUAGUUGCCAGCAAGUGAAGUUGGGCACUCUAGCGAGACUGCCGGUGAUAAAUCGGAGGAAGGUGGGGACGACGUCAAAUCAUCAUGCCCCUUAUGUCCUGGGCUACACACGUACUACAAUGGCUACAACAGAGGGUAGCGAAGCCGCGAGGCGGAGCCAAUCCCUAAAAGUAGUCCCAGUUCGGAUUGUGGGCUGCAACCCGCCCACAUGAAGUCGGAAUUGCUAGUAAUGGCAGGUCAGCAUACUGCCGUGAAUACGUUCCCGGGCCUUGUACACACCGCCCGU